rnacentral:rRNA from 5 species
CUGGGUUGAUAGGCCGGAUCUGGAAGCACGGUAACGUGUGGAGGUGACCGGUACUAAUAGGCCGAGGGCUUGUCCUCAGUUG